GACAGAGGGUGCAAACGUUGUUCGGAAUUACUGGGCGUAAAGCGCGUGUAGGCGGCCAACUAAGUCGGGCGUGAAAUCCCACGGCUCAACCGUGGAAGUGCACUCGAAACUGGAUGGCUAGAGUCCUGGAGAGGAAGGUGGAAUGCUUGGUGUAGAGGUGAAAUUCGUAGAUAUCAAGCGGAACACCGGUGGCGAAGGCGGCCUCUGGACAGUGACUGACGCUGAGA
rnacentral:rRNA from 1 species